CUGCAAGGUAUGUUUGACUUAAUAAAGGUGUAAAAAUACACCUAAAAUAAUAAAUGGGUAACAAAGCAGGUUAGUCUAAAUCCAUUCUAGGAAAGGACCCAACUGGGUAAUUGGAUAGAAAAAGGAUAGUCUUAGAGCAGUGUCUGAGAGAAUCUGGAAAGGGCAGGAUUAAUAGCAACUAAUGGGGCGCACCCAAACUGAUAUCGAGUAGCUUAUACUAAAGAGAAAAGGAGC